rnacentral:rRNA from 1 species
UGGCGGACGGGUGAGUAAUGUCUGGGAAACUGCCCGAUGGAGGGGGAUAACUACUGGAAACGGUAGCUAAUACCGCAUAACGUCGCAAGACCAAAGAGGGGGACCUUCGGGCCUCUUGCCAUCGGAUGUGCCCAGAUGGGGUUAGCUAGUAGGUGGGGUAAAGGCUCACCUAGGCGACGAUCCCUAGCUGGUCUGAGAGGAUGACCAGCCACACUGGAACUGAGACACGGUCCAG